AGUGGAGGACUCCAAAGGGAUCGCAUUGAUCUCACCUUCCGCCGAGCACAUACGUGUGCAUGGCUGCUAUCUGCGCGCGAGGACAAGAUCAGUGCAAUCCCUUUGGAAUUUUCCAC
rfam:Dichanthelium oligosanthes cultivar Kellogg 1175 unplaced genomic scaffold Do_version_2_scaffold2391, whole genome shotgun sequence.